rnacentral:rRNA from 1 species
UACGUAGGGUGCAAGCGUUAAUCGGAAUUACUGGGCGUAAAGCGUGCGCAGGCGGUUGUGCAAGACCGAUGUGAAAUCCCCGGGCUUAGCCUGGGAAUGGCAUUGGUGACUGCACGGCUAGAGUGUGUCAGAGGGGGGUAGAAUUCCACGUGUAGCAGUGAAAUGCGUAGAGAUGUGGAGGAAUACCGAUGGCGAAGGCAGCCCCCUGGGAUAACACUGACGCUCAUGCACGAAAGCGUGGGGAGCAAACAGG